UACGAAGGGGGCUAGCGUUGCUCGGAAUCACUGGGCGUAAAGCGCACGUAGGCGGCCAACUAAGUCAGACGUGAAAUCCCUCAGCUUAACUGGGGAACUGCGUCUGAUACUGGAUGGCUUGGAUUCGGGAGAGGAAUGCGGAAUUCCAGGUGUAGCGGUGAAAUGCGUAGAUAUCUGGAGGAACACCGGUGGCGAAGGCGGCAUUCUGGACCGAUAUUGACGCUGAGGAGCGAAAGCCAGGGGAGCAAACGGG
rnacentral:rRNA from 1 species